CCUGGCUCAGGAUAAGUCGUAACAAGGUAACCGGAAGCAGCUUGCUGCUUCGCUGACGAGUGGCGGACGGGUGAGUAAUGUCUGGGAAGCUGCCUGAUGGAGGGGGAUAACUACUGGAAACGGUAGCUAAUACCGCAUAAUGUCGCAAGACCAAAGAGGGGGACCUUCGGGCCUCUUGCCAUCGGAUGUGCCCAGAUGGGAUUAGCUUGUUGGUGGGGUAACGGCUCACCAAGGCGACGAUCCCUAGCUGGUCUGAGAGGAUGACCAGCCACACUGGAACUGAGACACGGUCCAGACUCCUACGGGAGGCAGCAGUGGGGAAUAUUGCACAAUGGGCGCAAGCCUGAUGCAGCCAUGCCGCGUGUAUGAAGAAGGCCUUCGGGUUGUAAAGUACUUUCAGCGGGGAGGAAGGGAGUAAAGUUAAUACCUUUGCUCAUUGACGUUACCCGCAGAAGAAGCACCGGCUAACUCCGUGCCAGCAGCCGCGGUAAUACGGAGGGUGCAAGCGUUAAUCGGAAUUACUGGGCGUAAAGCGCACGCAGGCGGUUUGUUAAGUCAGAUGUGAAAUCCCCGGGCUCAACCUGGGAACUGCAUCUGAUACUGGCAAGCUUGAGUCUCGUAGAGGGGGGUAGAAUUCCAGGUGUAGCGGUGAAAUGCGUAGAGAUCUGGAGGAAUACCGGUGGCGAAGGCGGCCCCCUGGACGAAGACUGACGCUCAGGUGCGAAAGCGUGGGGAGCAAACAGGAUUAGAUACCCUGGUAGUCCACGCCGUAAACGAUGUCGACUUGGAGGUUGUGCCCUUGAGGCGUGGCUCCCGGAGCUAACGCGUUAAGUCGACCGCCUGGGGAGUACGGCCGCAAGGUUAAAACUCAAAUGAAUUGACGGGGGCCCGCACAAGCGGUGGAGCAUGUGGUUUAAUUCGAUGCAACGCGAAGAACCUUACCUGGUCUUGACAUCCACGGAAGUUUUCAGAGAUGAGAAUGUGCCUUCGGGAACCGUGAGACAGGUGCUGCAUGGCUGUCGUCAGCUCGUGUUGUGAAAUGUUGGGUUAAGUCCCGCAACGAGCGCAACCCUUAUCCUUUGUUGCCAGCGGUCCGGCCGGGAACUCAAAGGAGACUGCCAGUGAUAAACUGGAGGAAGGUGGGGAUGACGUCAAGUCAUCAUGGCCCUUACGACCAGGGCUACACACGUGCUACAAUGGCGCAUACAAAGAGAAGCGACCUCGCGAGAGCAAGCGGACCUCAUAAAGUGCGUCGUAGUCCGGAUUGGAGUCUGCAACUCGACUCCAUGAAGUCGGAAUCGCUAGUAAUCGUGGAUCAGACUGCCACGGUGAAUACGUUCCCGGGCCUUGUACACACCGCCCGUCACACCAUGGGAGUGGGUUGCAAAAGAAGUAGGUAGCUUAA
rnacentral:rRNA from 1 species